ensembl:lncRNA
AGCAGAGGUGGGAUGCUGGUCACGAGAACCUCCAAAGGGUUUAUAUUAAUAAACUUCAUUAGGCUCAGAGCAGUGUUAGCCAUGGCUCAUGUUAGCACGGUUCAGGCAUGGUUCAGGUACUGUAGCUGUUUAGCUAUGGUUCAGGUUAGCUAUGUUUCAGGUUAGCAUGGUUCAGGUUAGCAUGGUUCAGGUAGUUUAGCUAUGGUGCAGGUUAGUAUGGUUCAGAUUAGCAUUGUUCAGGCAGUUUAGCUGUUUAGCUAUGGUACAGGUUAGCAUUGUUCAGGUAGUUUAGCUGUUUAGCUAUGGUUCAGGCAUGGUUCAGGUAGUUUAGCUAUGGUUCAGGUAGGUUAGCUGUUUAGCUAUGGUUCAGGUAGUUUAGCUAUGGUUCAGGUAGGUUAGCUGUUUAGCUAUGGUUCAGGUAGUUUAGCUAUGGUUCAGGUAGUUUAGCUAUGAUUCAGGUAGUUUAGCUAUGGUUCAUGUUAGCAUGGUUCAGGUAGUUUAGCCAUGCCUCAUAUUAUUAUUCAUGGUGAAGUUAGAGUUGGUCAGACAUGGUUCCGGUUCCGGAGCGCUUUUGCUAUUUGUAAGAACCGAGGGGAACCUCAUU